rnacentral:tRNA from 1 species
GGCUCUGUAGUGAAAGUUUCAUGUUGAGUUGCAAGCUCAUUGAUGCGCCUUAAAAGUGCCGGAGCCU